rnacentral:rRNA from 1 species
GACGAACGCUGGCGGCGUGCUUAACACAUGCAAGUCGAACGGAAAGGCCCUGCUUUUGUGGGGUGCUCGAGUGGCGAACGGGUGAGUAACACGUGAGUAACCUGCCCUUGACUUUGGGAUAACUUCAGGAAACUGGGGCUAAUACCGGAUAGGAGCUCCUGCUGCAUGGUGGGGGUUGGAAAGUUUCGGCGGUUGGGGAUGGACUCGCGGCUUAUCAGCUUGUUGGUGGGGUAGUGGCUUACCAAGGCUUUGACGGGUAGCCGGCCUGAGAGGGUGACCGGCGACAUUGGGAAUGAGAUACGGCCCAGACUCCUACGGGAGGCAGCAGUGGGGAAUAUUGCACAAUGGGCGGAAGCCUGAUGCAGCAACGCCGCGUGCGGGAUGACGGCCUUCGGGUUGUAAACCGCUUUCGCCUGUGACGAAGCGUGAGUGACGGUAAUGGGUAAAGAAGCACCGGCUAACUACGUG